UGAAAUGGCUAAUAAGCCCAUCUAGUGUAACAAAAUCCCAAGAGGCCCCUCAAAAACCUAAUAUUACAUCAGCCCGAACUGGGCAGUUUUCGCCCAGAGGGACCGGUCUCUCCCCAGCAGGGACCGGUCUCUCGCUGCGAACCCGAAAAACCAGCGUUCGGGAACCGGUCUCUCCCUGCGCGGGACCGGUCUCUCACUGCGAAGACGCGUUCGGGAACCGGUCUCGCCUGCCAGGGACCGGUUGCCUCAGGCUGCCUCAACACUGCUCACUGAGGGGACCGGUCUCUCCUUCCAGGGACCGGUCCCCGAGAGUGAAAACUCUCAGGACUUGUCCAGAAUCCCGAUUUUCGAACUUUUUAGGUCGGAAAACAUUCUACGACCCUCCGCCAAGUGUGGAAAAGCUCGAAACACAUUCAUACACUCGAACCUCGCAAUUUGCGAAGGUCCAGUGUGUUACACCCGGUCUCCUCAUCCUCUGCAAGUACCUUCCCAUUCAUAUAGAACUCACGAAUGAGUUCCACACAAAAUGAAGCGCGAACAGGAACCCUACCAACUGGCUCAAUAGGAACCCGCUGAAGUAGCUAGCCAAAGUCAGGAACGUCAUGUAUAAGAUCAUUGAAGUUGACAUAACGCUCUGCAAUACAAGUGUCACGCCCCGGGACCCAGCGGAAGCCCGCCCGGCGCGUGCCCAGACCCGCCAUACGUCUAAAACAUAUAAGGCGUCUAAAAACAACAAUAAUAGAAGCAAUAAUGAAAGACAUCUAGGAGUAUCAGAGCAUAAUAAAUGUCUAAUUGCUACAACAAGGAAUAAGGAUAAAGCUGCAAAUCCACUAAAUAAAAUAUAAAGUAAAUACAAUAGAAAAUCCCAAAUACAAGUGCUAGAAGUAGGUACAUAGGUGGUCUCUACACAUGGAUACAAAAUCUCUCACUCUCCCAGCUACAAAAAGAAAGAGCAAACCACCUAAGCAAAGAACCGCUCCUCGCUAGCUAGCUACGCGAUCCCCUUGCCGCGAUCCCGUGCCUCCGCCGGUGCCGAAGGCUCUGAAAAGAAAACCAGAAAACAGGGGCGUGAGAACUAUUAAAAAUAGUUCCCAGUGGGCAUUACUGACUUCAGUGAAUACACCACGAGGCCCAAAGCUACAAAAGUGGUUAGUGACUAUGAAUGUAGAGAAGCGAAAGGUAAGUAAAAUAUAACUUACUAUAACAUAGAGUCUCUACUUAGCAUGAUUUGCAUAAGUAAUAAAUCAACUAUAGCAUGAAUGUACAUGGAUGUGUAAGACAUGCAUAAGCGUAGAAAUGCAACCAAUCCAAUGUCCUCAAUACAAAGAUAGUAAAAAUAUCGUCGUUUACUAUUCUAGUCCAAGUCCACUUUAAUAGUUUUAAAGUUCACAUUGCAUGAUCUGUCACUAAGUCCCAAUCAUAUAAGACCCACCCGAAGGCUGUCUGGCCUGCGCCGUGCCUAAUGGCCCCGUGGUAGUCAACAUCCCCACUCUAGGGAUGAGCCUCCCCCACGGCGAUCCACUUCGGCGCCCAAUCCCGCACGGCGAGCAUGUGUCGCGAUGGCUAUCUCCGGAGUGCCGGCUUGUAGGGAGCGACCCUCACAAGCAUGUGCGAAUGAGCACAAAUGGCAAGCAAGCAAUGAUCUGUCUCAAGUACCAAGUCCUCAUGUCUAAAACAUGGAAUAUGUCAAGUAUCACGAUGGCCUAUCUCUAUGUCAUCAUGUCUCUAACAUGGAAUAUAGCAGAUGUGUAGUGGCCUACCAAUAUGUCUCUAUGUUGCAGUUUCGUAGUUUACUAGUUUCAAGUGCCCCUUUAUGACACUCUGGUUCUCUAUGUCAAAAACAUGGUAACUAUGUUCCAAAGUACAUAUUCCAAGUCAUAAUUCUCAUAAGAGAUGUAUUUUUCAAUUGCGAAAUAAACACUUUUCCCGUAUGCAUGCAUUCUACUCAUAUAGCUCUACUAUAUAGUGAAAUUUUCAUAAUACACGAGGCAUGCAUUUUAAGUGCUCUAAAAUUCAUAUAAAUUCUAUUUAGUAUAGAAAUGAACUUAAAAAUAAUUUACAACAAGUAGAAAGAGCAUAGGGGCCAUUUCGCCCCCUUUCCACGAAGUCAAACCCACCGAUGACAAUGAAACUCCUCGUGCGCUCCAACGAGGGUGUCCCCUAGUCUCCUAGUAUCCUAGAGGUAUAGAAACAUGUGUCAAACAAAGCUCACGAACAAAGCUAAGCUCAAACAUUAAGCUUCUCUAGCUAGGUUGGAGAAAACUCACCGAAAGCUAACGAAUCUCUCUCGAUCUCAAAAAGGGAGUUAGAUUCCUUCAAAUCCAACCUAAAUCAAAGUUCUAAACCAAUCAAUUUGGUUCUAGAAGCUACCGAUCAAAAAUCCCCAUUUUAGCCCUAAAACUCAAAAUCUAGGGUUUCAUCUAGUAGAAGAUGUUAAAACUUGAUCCAAAAGGGAGAUUUAGCUUACUAACCUCACAAGAUGUCCAAAACCAAGCUCCAAGCCAAGUGGAGUUGGAGUUUGAUCCUCCAACAAGCUCCAACCAAGAUCUUAACCUUCUCCAAUGGUGGAAAUCCCAAAGAAAACAAGAAGGAGAAGAAAAGAGAGAUCAAAACCACUAAAAACCCACCAAAAUAGGAGAUCAAACCAAGAGGGGAAGACUCACCUUGCUCUCCUCUGGUUAGGGCUCAAAAAGAGCAGCAAAGGGGCUGGGGUAACUUAUAAAGAGUAUUGCAACAAUUGCAAAAAGACCCCUCCACGAAAUCUGCCGAGAGGCAUUGUGUACCGGUACACGAGAAAGUGUACCGGUACACUUCCUGCGAAACAGCCCAACCCGAGCCUCGGGUUGGCAGAAAACCUAAUGUGUACCGGUACAACCAUCAAGGCGUACCGGCACAAAUUCUGUACCGGUACAACCAUCAAGGCUGUACCGGUACACAGCCUGGCUGAGGCUAAUCCGAGGGCUAACCAAAAAUCCAACUUUUUAGAUUUUGGUACACCACUUCAAACCACAAUUCUCGGGACUCGAACCAUGGGUCGGAACACUGUCUACGAUCCUUCAGAAAGUCUGAGAUGGCUCGUCACACAGAUCAAACACUCGAACCUCGCAAUUUGCAAAGGUCCAGUGCGUCACAUACACCCAUCCUAAAAAGAACUUACAUGUAGCCAUAUGAGAACACGCUAGAAAGCAUACGUACAAACCUCAGAACUCCAUCAGAAAAAGCUAACGGGAUAGUGCUCCAGCAAGGCGCUCUCCAGCUCCCACGUGGCCUCUCGCUCUCCGUGGUUGCUCCAAAGGACCUUUACAUACGGAAUGUCCCGAUUCCGCAGCUUCUUCACCUCGCGAGCCAAAAUCUUCACGGGUUGCUCCUCGAAGCUCAGAUCCUCGCGCAGCUCCACUGGUACAGCAUCCAAAACAUGAGCUGGAUCAUGAAUGUACCUCCGAAAGACCGAUACAUGAAAGACGUUGUGCACGCCGGAUAGGUUCGGUGGUAGAGCAAGUCGAUACGCUACCGGACCUAUACGCUCCAAGAUCUCAUACGGUCCAAUGAAACGGGGGCUCAACUUUCCCCGAAUCCCGAAUCUCUUGAUUCCUCUAGUUGGCGAGACCUUCAAGAAAACAUGGUCUCCAACUUGGAACUCCAAGUCUCGCCGUCGUCGAUCGGCGUAGCUCCUCUGUCUACUCUGCGCCGUCAAAAGUCGCUCCCGAGCAAUUCGAACCUUNNNNNNNNNNNNNNNNNNNNNNNNNNNNNNNNNNNNNNNNNNNNNNNNNNNNNNNNNNNNNNNNNNNNNNNNNNNNNNNNNNNNNNNNNNNNNNNNNNNNNNNNNNNNNNNNNNNNNNNNNNNNNNNNNNNNNNNNNNNNNNNNNNNNNNNNNNNNNNNNNNNNNNNNNNNNNNNNNNNNNNNNNNNNNNNNNNNNNNNNNNNNNNNNNNNNNNNNNNNNNNNNNNNNNNNNNNNNNNNNNNNNNNNNNNNNNNNNNNNNNNNNNNNNNNNNNNNNNNNNNNNNNNNNNNNNNNNNNNNNNNNNNNNNNNNNNNNNNNNNNNNNNNNNNNNNNNNNNNNNNNNNNNNNNNNNNNNNNNNNNNNNNNNNNNNNNNNNNNNNNNNNNNNNNNNNNNNNNNNNNNNNNNNNNNNNNNNNNNNNNNNNNUAGCGGACCACUAGAAUCCGACACACACACUAACCUGACUACUCCUACAAUCCUGGAAUUGCCCUCCUCGUACAGUGUGGGGUAAUUAGGGUGUAGCCUAUCCUUACCCCUACAUUAACCUAUAUAUUCUAUGAAUCUGUGAUUAUUAUUAUUGACCCGAAUUAGUAAAACCCGACCGCCAACCCGGGUUGCUCAAUAAUAACUAUCACCCAACCCAGCAAUGUCAUUUUCAUUACCGUUCGGAGCGGGAGAAUCUCUGGUUAUAAUUCAGUCUCAAGAAAAUAGAAAAGAAAAAAAAGAGAGAGAAGAAUAAAAAAUACGUACGGCGUAGCGCGCCCAUUGAUAUGAUCAUAUUUUAUCCUUUUUUAAGUUUUUUUAGGGACACCAAAGCAUCAAAGAAUGAAACGGGGGGACACCAAAUUUUACAUAGUUUAACAGGAGGACACCAAAGUAAAAAUAGAAAAGCUAUCGAAAAAGCAAUUAUAAAGUAAUUUAAUAUAUGUUUUUUGAAGUCUGUGGGUAGAUCUAAAUAGUUUAUAAGUGAAAUGAUGGGAAAUUAAAAUUGAAAUAGUGACUAAAUUCUUUUUUUUAUUAUUUUAACUAUUCUUUUUCUCUUUUUUUCUUUAAUGUCCCCCGUUUAACUAUAUAAAAUUUGGUGUCCUCCCGAUUCAUUUUUUGAUGCUUUGGUGCCCCCCAAAAAACUUCAAAAAGGAUAUUUUAUUAUCGGAUUUGAUUAUCUAAGAAAUACGUUUAACUAAAUUUUAAUUGAUGUAAUUAAUCAUAUAAAAAUUCUAAAAAUUAUUUUUACCCUACAUAUUUGGCGGCAUCGACGGUUUAACGCAUGUUAAAGGCGGGUUGCAAGCGAUCUAUUACACGAGAAGGUGCAGUGGCGGAGAUAGGGGAGUACUACGCUACCGUCUUAGCGUUUAUUUGACGUGGCCGUCACCGUAAAUCCGUCGCCUUUUUUCCGUCUCCUUACUUGCUUCCUUGCUCGCCUGUUCAAAGGCCGGGUGCAGCGGGUAAGAAAAGGCGAGUCGUGGUAGAUAUAUACAUUUAUUGAUGCCGGAAAGACCGGGGGUUAAGCGCUAUUAUUAUGAGCGGACACUAAGCAGGCAACGCAACGCGGAGAGAGAGAGAAAGAAACCGCUGUUCUUCUCUCUCCUGUUCCCCCGAUUAAGAUAGAGAGAAUAGAAGAAGAAACGGUCCCGCUAGAGCUAGACUAGCUAGAAAAAAGGAAGCCACAGCAGUAGAUUAUUUCUUUCCAUCCAAGGAGAGAAAAAUCGGGGUAAGAAAAUUUUAAAUUUAGAGACGUCUACGUCUUUAAGCCAUGAAACGAACGGACUAGCGCUCUUUUUUCACUUCGGUUAACUAAAUAAUAAUAAUAAUAAUAAAAUACUACCAAAGAAGAAGAAAGAACUUUAAAUAAACUGAAAGUUAGUAAGCAACGUCUAGCCUAGCCUAGCCUAGCCUAGCCUAGCGCCUGCAAUUAAGAACACACAACAGCUUUUUCGCUAGUUUACCGCCUAGUCCUCUCCUCUUACCUUCUGCCCGUGGCGGCGACGCGCUUGUUGACGCCGGAGAAGCCCUCAUGGCGUUGGGCGUUGGAGACGAGGUCUACGAUGGCGCUGAAGGCGGAGUUUGUUGUUCUAGUGCGGCGGCGACGGCUGUAGCGGACGCUGUUAAGGGCGGAGGGGAGAGCAAGGGGAAGGUGCUGGAGGAGGAGGACGCAGUGGCGAGGGCGUGGGGAUCAAGGCUGUCUUCUUGGACGAUCAUCGCGGUGCCGUAGCCGCCUCGUCGGCGUCGACCGCAGCUUACCCGGCUCGGCCACGCGCCGCACGGCCUUCUCCCACCCCGACAGACGCCCCAAGGUCACGUCCACGCCCCGCUGUAAGACGCCGCGGGUGGCGAUGGGCCUCGCGGUGCGGACGCCGAAGCUGAUGUUCCGGCGGCCCUCCCUCCGGUAGCGGGCGCGGUUGGGGGAGCAGUCCCGGCUGUUCGAGGCGGCGUAGACUCGGCAGACCUCCCGGAGAAGAAGACGCGGACUCCUGCCGUAGAAGAAGCACAACCUUUGAGGCUUACGCUCCUACUACGCCCAACCAAUUAUAACCAAAAGUCCGGCACGAAAAACAGAGAGCGGAAAAGAAAAACAAAACAAAAAAUAUUAGUCCAAAAGUGCAUACUUACAUAGCGUAUAAUAAUCCACGAUAACUUCUUUAAAGUUUAAUUUUUAAGUGUAAAUUUUUAAAUUAAAUUUAAAAUUAUAAAGCAAAUAUAAAAUUUAAAUUUGAAACUAAAGUUUUAACUUAAACUUUUUAACUUAAGUUAAUAUAAUCUAAUAAAGUUUUUAAGUUUAAGGAAACUCAAAUUAUAAAUUUAAGAUUAACAACUAAGUUUUAAAUUUAAGUUUGAGUUAAAAACUUGAGCCUCAAGUUUUCGUUUAAAAUUUAAAAUUUAAAAGUUUUAACUUUAAGUUCAAAUCUAAAACUUAAGUAUAUAGUUAAGCUUAAGUUUAAAAAUCAGGUUUAUAAUUAAAGUUUAAAUCUAAAACUAAAGUUUAUAUUUUAAAUUUAAAUUAAUUUUAAAAUUUAAAUUAAUUUUAAUUUUAAAUUUUAAAAAUAAAAUUAAGUUCCAAUUAAGUUUUAAAUUUGAAUUUAAAUUUUAAAUUUAGGUCUAAACUUAAGUUUUAAGUUUGUUUUUUAAUUUUAAGAUUUAAGUUUGAAUUCAUAAAACUAAUUUAUUAAUUAAUUUCAAAUUAAAUAAAAUUUACGUUUAAACUCUAUUAACCCCCACCACUUAACAGCGCUAGACUUAACGUCGCUUUUAAUCCGAGCGAUUGUUUAGACGGCAUGCGUGCCCUUGUGUUCUUUGCAGAUUUGGUAAUCGUCUAUCGUGACUUUUAUUUUGAUUAUAUAUCUAUAUGGUUAUGACAUAUAUGUUGUACAGAGAUUUUCCACGUUGCUAGUGGGAAACUAUUGUAUUUUAUUUAUGUGAGCACUACGGUCAGGUCAUAUAUGUUUUACAGGGUAUUUUAGCGAUUGAAGGUGAUCAUGUCAGGUGGCCCGUCCUCUACGAUGUCAGGUGGCUCAUCCUCUACGAUAAAUAGGGUAUUAAAAGAAUAGAGCUAAUCUUUGUUGCCGUUGCUCACACCUCCCGACCCGAUAAUUUUGCUCAUCAGAAGCUGCCCAUGGCAGUAAUUGCUAUUGCUGGAUAAGUAAUUCAGAUGGGCUCCGUACUCGUUUUCUUGGUAACUUACAUUCGCCUCAUUCAUUUAUUCACGUAUUAUCCUUGAUGGUGAUGAUACGGAGGUUUGAUUGAAAAUCCUUUACUCAUGCGUAACAUAUUAUACGUAGUUGAUUGAUGUUAUUCAGAUUUUUUAUAGAUUGGCAUGGUUGACCGAGCUUUCACGUCAGUUCAGACAUGAUCGGAGUGUAGACUAGGGAUAUUUUUUAGACUACCCAGUAACUGUACUAUUAUAAUAUAACUUAUCGGAUAAAAAUCUCACCGUGAGUCUUCUCUCGCUGAGCGAGUUCCUAGUUUCAUCGGUUUAUUUCGUAUGAUAUAAUGACGUUCGAUACAAACUACGGUUACUAGUUUGUCUAGUAUUAUUAAUAAUUGUUACGCAGGAGUCAUGUUUGACUCGUAUUCACAACACAUUGGAACGUCAGAUUUGGGUGCCGGUGUUACCUAGUAUCCACCAGAUAUAGGCUGUGGUAGGUUAGGUGGCUCGUGUUUUAUAAAGUUUGAUAGGGAUUAGGAGGGAUAACUAGGGCUCUAUUUUCCUGGUGUGGUUGGUUACCUUUCAAAUGAACUGAUUUAAGUCAAACUCCUUAAUCGUCUAUGACAGAGGUCCUCGAUGGUUAGUGGAUCUACAGAUAGUCAUGUAAAUCGUUCUUAUUUGCGUCCCAAGUCAUUAAUUAAUGUUGAUCGUUCUCUAGUUACAAUAUUGGUAUGUAAGGGUCAAAUGAUUGUCUAAUGUCGUACAAUUGAUCUUCGAUUAAAUGAAUAACUGUAUGAUCUAUCAGGUCACACAAACUUCUUGAUUUAGGAGGAGUUUAAGUUGUUGCUUCAUUAAAGUUGAGGGUCGUCUAUCUCAUGUCGAUGUGGUCCUCUUUACUCGCGAUUUUUAGAGCUUUUUAGUCGUUCUUUGGACGAUCCUGGUAGGCUUUAGACCUUUGCAUUUUUUUGUCGUCAGCCGAUUGUUUUUAGGUUAAAGUAGAUUUAACUACGCGAAUGGAUGUGAGUCUGUUGUUAGCUGGUGAGUGCGUGGGAGUGGAAGUUUAGUUCUUUCUUUUUGUUUCUUUAGGAUUGGGGUUUGUCCCUAAUACGAUCUUAUCUUUAACUUUAUUUUUUGAAUUACUUUCAUGGUAAGUUAUGUUUAAAGUUCAAAUUCAAGGUUUAAGUUAGUUGAUUGGAGAGUUAGAUCAAUCUUCGAAGAGGUUUUGUUGUUCUUCACUGACGUUUAGGUGGUUUGUAGGUCAAUGUUGUGACGAUCUUCUUGGCCUUCUUUUUUAAAUUGUUUUUUUAGACUACUUUCAGGGUAAAGUCGAGUAAUCGGGUUUUAUAAAGUUAAAGUAAGUUUAAUUGGAACUAAGGUCGAUCUUUCUUACCAGGUGUCCGAAAGGAAGGAGUCGAUUUAGUGCUUGUUCUGGGUUUUACGUUGAUCUUCGAGGUGGAGUUGGCUUUUUAGGAUCGAAAAUAAACGACGUUAACGAUGAUGAUGACGAGGUUGAUAUCAAAAGAUCGAUCGUUCCAUUUCUUAUACCUCCUACCCCCCUCUUCUACCCUUAAUUCCAGAGAUCCUACAUCCCCUCACUUUUCUCACUCACAUCUCACACCUCCUCGAUAAAUAUUUCCUUUACUCACUUAUCUUACUCGUAGCCUAGUUUCUCUAAUUUGGACAAGGAGUCAUUUUUAUAAGCUAAAGCUCGUAGGUCUUAGUGUAAACCCACAGAUUUUCCGAACUUAGUCGUAACUUUUGUACUUUACCCGCAAGUGACUCUUCGAAUUUGGUCAGCUUGGACGUAACUUAGGUUAGUUUGAUGAAAGGUACACAGUUGUGAGAAACUAUGCGAGUCUUUACUAAGUGGUUGAGUUAAAGCCAGACGAUGUCAUUGAAAGAGCAGACUUUUUUCUCAGCUUUACUGAAGGCAUUGAGGAUAUCGAAAGAUGACACUUAAACCCGCGGGCCAAGAAGAGAACCCGCGACAUUCGACGACCGGUCUUGAAAUCAAAACCGUCUAAAAUCACGAGGUCUAAGCAGAAGCAUAAAUAAAGCGGGGUUUUACUGAAGCUGAGCCGGCUUGCGGGAUAUCUAUAUAACUAGUCGUCAACUAUAAUACUAGUAAGACUGUUGAUACAAAGAUCUUGUAGUGUCUUUAAACUUAACUUUUAAAACUUAAGUCAUUACAUUCUAUGGGUGAUGAAGGAUCGUUAUAAAACCACAAUUAGAACAAUAAGAAGUAAUAACUAUCUUAAUAUACCCUACUUAGUUUAAAGUAUUAGAUUUUUAUAAAGACAUCCUAAAGAUAAUUAGGAUGGUUCUAUCACGUUUGAAUAUGUGAAUCUCAAUUAAAUAUGUACAGGGAGAUUUCUAUAGUUUAACGUUUAUAUAGGAUCGUUAAAUUCACUAGUUUAAAAAAGGACUUUUUUAAAAUUACACAACUAAAAACAGGGAGUUCAAACAGGAACAAUCAAGUUAUAAAUAAAAAUUAUUUAUUGAUCAAUUCCUGGACGCGAAGCGCCGCCCAUCAUUUUAAAUGUGAUUUUAUGUCAUCAUUUAUUAUUUGUUGUUUAUAUAUAUAUAUAUAUAUAUAUAUAUAUAUAGUGAGACUCGUCUCGCUGGUCUGGCAUAGCCGGUCAUCUUGUCAUUCAGACUCCGGCAUAGCCUAUCACUUUGUCUUUCCGGCUCUCGCUCAGUCGAGACUCAUCUCACACUUCCAGUGUAACACACUGGACCUUUGCAAAUUGCGAGGUUCGAGUGUUUGGACUGUGUCCUGAGCUUUUCCAGAUUUUCUGGUGGGUCGUUGACAGUGUUCCGACCUAUGGUUCGAAUCCCGAGAAUUGUAGUAUUUUAUGUAGCGCUAAGGUCACUAAAAAGUUGGACUUAGCCUACUCUCGGAUUGCUUUCAGCACAAGGUGUACCGGUACACUUGUGAUGGCUGUACCGGUACACACUUUGUACCGGUACGCGCUUGAUGGUUGUACCGGUACACUUGUGGCAGAUUACUAACCCGAGCCUCGGGUUUGCGUUUUCGUAGGAUGUGUACCGGUACACUUUCCCGUGUACCGGUACACUUGGGCAGUUUUCGAACAGUUCGAACUGCAGGGGUGUUUUUGCAUUGUUGCAACUCUAUAACAUACCCCACGCCCCCUUUGGUGUUCCCUGAGCUUGGAGGCAGGGAGAGCAAGGUAAGGGAGCUCUCUUUUCUCCCUCUUUGUUUCCCUUUGAUUUAUGUUGGAUUUUUGAAGAUUAAACUCUCCUUUUGCUCUCUUUUUGCAUUUUGGUGGCUUUUCCUCCAUGGGAGAAGUUUGGGCUUGGUGUUUGGAGCUUGUAGAAGGGUAGGAGCUCAACCCUAGCUGAUUUCUAGGGUGGUUGGGAGCUUCUCUUGAGGUUAGUUGCUUACUAAUUCCCUUUUGAUCAUGAUUUUUGUAUACAAACCCUAGAAAUGGGUAUCUAGGGUUUGUUUUGGGGAUUUUUGAUUAGAGGCUUUUGAAGCCCAAUUGAUCUUAUUAGAACCUUUAUCUAGGUUGGAUUGGAAGGGAUCUAGCUUCCAUUUGGAGCUUAAAAGGGAUUUUCUACACUUAGGUGAGAUUUUAGCCCUUUUUGCCUUGAUGGUUAAUGUUUGAGUUUUGGGUUGUUCGUUUCGUUUGAGUAACCCUCGUUUUGAUGCUUCUAGGGUACUAGGAGCCUUGUGGGCACCUCCGUUCGGCGAAACGAAGGUUUCGAUUUUGGUGGGUUUGGCCUCACCAAAUGAAACAAAAUUCUCUUAUGAUGGUUUUAUUUAUCGUAAAAUGAAAAUGCAUGCAUAUUCAUGCUAGAUAGAUCAAUUGUGAAUUUUAGAAUGCUUAAAAUACGCACGUUAUGUAUAAUGUACUUUCGAACCUCUAUAUAGUAGAGAGUUUUCAUGUUGGGCUAGGGGCCUACGGUUAGCAUUCUUACAAUUGAUUGAGAUCAUGUUGCAUAUGGUACAUAUGGCAUAUAGAUUACACUCUUGGACUUAGAACGCAUGAUUGACGUGGUUGGACAUAUCGACAUUAAGCGACAUAGGCUAGAGUGUAUACAAAUAGUGAGCUAAUGUCAUAAAGCGGCAUUAGGCUUGGAUUAGAUAUGGGUUUAGCAAGCUAAUGUCAUAAAGCGGCAUUAGACUUGAUGGGUAUGCAAAUUGCAUGUGCAAGUUAUUAUUAUGAGAAUUAUGCCAAGUUAAUAGUCGCAUUGGGAUGAACUUACAUGUAGCCAUAUGAGAACACGCUAGAGAGCAUGUGUAUUAAUCUAUUGUUGAUAGAACAAGCUAACGCCUUAAAGAGACAUAAAAUGUGAAUUGAGCUUAGAUUAUAGCAAUGUUUAAGUGUCAUAAAGAGGUACUAAACAUAGUGAAUGUGGGAACUUCACCUUGAGUUUUGGACUUAGUAAAGCCAAGGUCAUUGACAUUGAAUUAUCGAACGGUUAAACCUUCACUUGAGGCAUAGACUAGACACUGGGGUUGCUAGUGUGCAUUUUCAUGUUAGAGACAUGAUGACUGUUGAGUUGCAUUUCCAUGUUGGAGACAUGACGAUUGGACUAUUGAGGUUUUGACCAUGCUUGCUUGCUUGCCAUUUGUGCUCAUACGCACAUGCUUGUGAGGGUCGCUCCCCACAAGCCGGCACUCCGGAGUUAGCCUACGCGACUUAUGUUCGCCCGUGCGGUAUCGAGUAGCCUACGGGGCCUGGAGGGAUAGACUCAUUCCUAGAGUGGGAAUGCUGGAGCUACCACUGGCACUUAGGCGGCACAAGCCGGACUACACCCGUGUAGAUCCUGAAUGAGAUUGAACCAGAAUACUAAACAACAAGUUGACAAUCACUACUAGAUAGGUUAUAGUGGUCGGAUUUUCUUGACAUGCUAUGGCAUAGGGUUGGACUCUUGGGAUAUUUAGUGUACUUGACAUUAUCGCUUAUUGCAUUGUAGUACACCUUGCUGCCAGGAUAGUACAUACUAGAUAUGUAGUGGGCUCUAGAAUAUAUAUCACACUUUAUAGCAUUACUUGUUGCAUCACGACACAUUGUUUAAGUUUUGGGCAUAUUGGAUCAUGUAGAGUAGAUGUACUCCAUGUUGACAUUCAGAAUACUUGUGGCAUAGUAGAGUAGCAUUUUAAUUUCAUGCUUCAAUUACUGUUGAUAUUAUCUAUUAUCAUUAUUUGCUCGUUUGGGGCCUAGUGGUGCGUUUUGGUGCAGGUCAGUAAUUGCCCACUGGGAACUAUAAAUUAUAGUUCUCACGCCCCCUGUUUUAUGUUUUCUUUCAGUGCCUUCCACUCCGGGAGAGGCUCGGGAUCGCGGGAAAGGUUUCGCCUCGAGUUAGCCAUCGAGGGUCUUGGCGUUAGGUGGUCCACCUCUCUUUUGUUUUCUUUCGGAGAGGUUGUGAGAGUUUUGUACCUGAUUAUAGAGACCACCCUAUUUUUGUAUCUUGAGACUUAUGAUGUAUCAGUUUACUUUAUGCUUAGUAGUAUGAUUUUCUUUUGAUUCUACCUAAUAUUAGAACCUAGCUAUAUACUUGCUCUGAUAUCUCUAGUUGUAGAUCUUCUCAUGCUUUACUCUUCCGCUUUUGUGUAGACGCCUUAUAUGUGUAGACAUAUGGCGGGUCUGGGCGCGCACCGGGCGGGCCUAUGCCGGGUCCCGGGGCGUGACAGAUUAAUUUGGUAUCAGAGCCUAGGGUUGAGUCUUAGCGGACCUAGCGAACCUUAGGCCGGUUGGACUAUAGAAAUUAGACUCGUGAGAGACGAGGUCUAUUUAACUUAUGAGCGAAAGUAUUAUGAUUGGGUUUUCUUUGAUAACUCCAAAAAUGUUGGAGUUGAAUCGAAGUGUAUGGCUUCUAACUUCGUGGAGGGUUACGUUGGCGGCCGACAACGUAACAUCAGGAGUUAGUAGAUGGGACACUUCUUUACUUUCACAUGAUUUGGGGUGUGGUUAUUUGAGCGGGGUUGCGAUAGCGUGGGUUAUAUUAACUUGCGCUUUUAUGAUGUUGUAGUGUUGAUGCCGACUGCACGCUCUAAGUCUGUUAGAGCAGACGAGGCGGCGACUUUUGAGGAAGCGGAGACAUCUGCUACCUCCCGAUCCAGUGAGGUCCGUGAGUUGAGGAGCCAACUUGCCGCCCUCACUGAUUUGGUGACGCAGCAGGCGGCGGCGGCCCAGCAGCAGGUGGACACGGCACGACGGCAGGAGGCACGGAUGCAGCGCCUGGAGGAUCUUCUAUUACAGCAGGCAGCUGGUAGGGAGGCUCAGGUCUUGGUACUACCCGCGCCAGUGGAGACAGUUGCGCCCGGGGGGUCGUCCCCUGUACUCGACACUUCACAGACGACACUUACGGUAGCCCCUCGGGGGGAGGUAUUGGCAGCACCACCAACUCAGGUGCCUGUGGCAGCGGCGACUUUUUCCUUGAUGGUUGAAAGAGCGGAGCGGCAGCGGCUCAUGGAUCGCCUCGAUGAGUUCCGAAGGUGCGAUCCCAGGAUCUUUGAUGGAGAGGAGGCCGACCACUGGAUCGUUGAGAAGUGGUUGAUGCAUAUGGAGAAGUUAUUCCGCGACACCUUCGUGGAGGAGAGAGAUAGAGUUUGGCUCGCCACUCACCAUUUGGACGGCGAGGCCUAUAGUUGGUGAUUGGGCAUCCAGGAUAAUCCCAACACCGACCUAGCAGCGAUUUCUUGGAAAAGAUUCAAGGAGCUCUUAUUGGAGCAUUACUUCCUCGUCCGCGUGAAGAGGAAAAUGGAACAGGAUCUGCGCGAGAUGCGCCAGGGGGACCAGACUGUGGCCGAGUAUGAGAGGGAGUUCUCUCAGCUUCUACACUAUGCGCCCUUUGUUGUACGGGAUGACGAGGAUAAGGCUCGCACCUUCGAGCGAGGACUUCGGCCGUCGAUUUUACGGUUGGUGCAACCCUUCCACCUUCAGACUUACCAAGAUGUAGUGAACCGCGCUCUCAUCGUGGAAAGCUGCGCGGCAGAUUUGCAGGAGCGUCAAAAAGGCUCGAACAAAGGACAGGACAAGAAGCCCGCGACUGAGAGUGCGAAUCAGACGCACUCUGGGAGGCCGCCGAAACAUUCCAGGAACCGGAGCCAGUUGCGAGGACGUGGCUCAUCAGCACGGCAUAGAGGAUCCGAGCGUCGUCAAACGCUGAGCUGCGUGAUCUGCGGUGGUCGUCAUUACCCGCAGCAGUGCUCUCAGAGGCAGGGCAGGUGCUACUCGUGUGGCCAGGAGGGUCACUUCCAGUCAGACUGUCUGAGAGGUUUAGUAGCAGCGCCAUCUUCAGCAUCGGUACCAGUAUUACCGGAUCCCAGCCAGGGGACGCCUUUUUCUCACUAUCAGGCCGGGAGGCUACCCGUCCUGAGACAGACGGAGGGGUCACGACGGGCCCCGAGUGGGCGUAUGUAUGCGGCCCAGAUUGAGGAGGCGGCAGCAGCCGAGUUUGUGAUUUCAGGUAUCAGUCCCUCUUGUGGCAUUUGAGUUGUGCAUUGUUUGCUAUUGGUGCAUUGCAUCUAUAUUCUGAUCGGCCAUUCGCCGAGUUGCAUGGCAUUUCGUUAGUUCGAUGUCUGCGACAUUGUGUAGCCCCUCGAGCUAGGCGUUUGAUUUGCGGAUCGCGGGUAGCAUAUUUUGCUAUGCUUGUAGAUCUCACGAGGAUUGCAUUAGUUGUAUCCCUGGCUCGGCUGUUUGCCGGAUGGGGCUUGGAGACGACCGUGCCUGGACCAUUUGGGGACUGCGGAGCCUGGGCCCGUUGGGCAGGCGCAGUCGGCUGUGUGUGACAGCGGCCCGGUACCUGUUGGUAGGGCAGAGUUUUGGUCAGGAUGGUAGUCCGAGCCUCGACCCUGGAGCGUGGAAAGCCACGUGUUGGAUCGUGAGAUCGAGGACACACUGAGUGUGUAGUUACCCAACCCGAGGAUUUGUUAGCGUUGAGCUUUUGGCGCGUGUGGAUGAUCGGUUGAUCGGGUGUGUCGUUUUGAACGCCCUACCCUGUGAGAUGGUUCUGGGUGCCAACGAAUAGAUUGGCCUUCCUUGGUGCGGAGUUGUUGUGGGUACCUGGUACCCUUGGAUUGCGAGCUGACUUGACUCGCCUUGAGGACUGUGUGCACGAAAUAGUGCGAUUUGAGGAUUUACUUCCGCUAGAUGUGUUGAUUGUCUCCCUUACCUAAAAUUGGGUAAGUGUUGGAGAGGGUUUAGGGCCUGAGUGGCCAUUAGCUUUGGGUGGUCGAGAAUCCUUGAAAUAAAGGAUGUCCUUGAUCGGUCGUUGUGUCCCUGAUCGAGUCACUAAUAGUUAGCUCGAUUGCCGGGGAGGUACUAUGAUUGGUGUUUUGUUUCGUGACGGAGCGCUCUCACUUGUUGUGGGGCCGGUUGGGCCAUUUUGACUGUAUGUCUACUCUCGUCAUUCAAAUUGAAUCACGAUUGGAGAUUUGGAGUGUUGCUGAGGCUCAUUGACCUUGUCAAAUGGCCUUGAGUUGUUGGUGUACUCGAUAAGAUUGUGAGCAAUCUGAGUAGUACUGUCUGAUACUGGAGUUUGAGGUCAUACCUCAAACGGGUUGUGAUGUUAGAUGGUGACAUCACGAGGGUGAUGUUGCCUAUGCGUGUAGUACUCCACCAGUGGAAGGAUUUGCGGAAUGAUAAUUUCGAGUCCUCUGUGUGGAUUUGUGGAACCAGUCGCGAAUGACUUGGGGUAUUCCUAUAGGAUGUGUGAGGUUAGACUGCUAGGCAGAUUUGAAGUGAUCGGGUUGUGAAACUCUCACUGAUGGAUGGAAAACUCGCGGGAGGGAAGGUACCAGGUUACUAAUUUCCCGUGUCAGGAGCAUGUACAAGGAUUUGAGUUCUUCGGGAUAGAACUGCACAUGAGGACUUAUGGGAUUAAUUUUGGCUUGAUAGUCGCAUCAGAGUGACCUUGAUAGAGAGCUGUUAUCGAACCGUGGAUUGACCCCUCUCUAUUGCGUGAACUGAGCUCGAUGGCUACCGACACCUGGAGCGUCCGUGACUAGGGGAAAGCUUUGAGAUCGAAUCUCUAAGGGUUUGCUUGGACUUGAAUUCGGACUAAGAUAAUAAUCUUAGUGAUUUCAUGAAGCUUUUGAGCUUGGUCCGUGACCAUGUAUUGCGGAGAAUGGAGGGUACUCCCGAAUGGUGAGUUCGAGAUUGAUGUGGAGACAUCGUAGCGCAGUGCCGAAUGAGGAACCAAGUAAUCGCCAUGAUGGGCGAGUUGGACGAUCAGUUGAUUUCUGUUACUUUUGAAAAGCUGGCUACCGUGGUGGUGGAUUUGGAACCGUCCGUGCCCAGCAAGGUUGGACGGAUGAUUGGACGUUGUGAAAUGGCAGUGGGCGUUCCUCUCUCUGCCCGCUAGAACCUACCACUAAAAUAGAGGGGGGGGCGAGAACUAUCUUCCAUAGCUCCCCAGGGUGGCGUUGCGCCGCGACUCUUGCCGAUCGCCCACUAGGUCCAAGUAGGGCCACAAGUAACAACAGAUAGAUAGAUAGAUAGAUAAUGUAUCUGUUAAGCAGUAAAGUGCGGGAAGUAGGAGAAAGACUAUGUCUAAUACCGAUAAUUCAUGGAAUCAUGGAUUGCCAUGCAUUAUAUAAUAAAGGCUUUGCUACCAUGCUAACAAAUUCGGAUUCGAUGUUCGAAUUUUAGCUAAUGUUUCAAUGACAUUUUUUAAAACGUUUAACCUUUCCAUUUUACCCAAUCUGUUGACGGAGGCCCUAAGCGCUCGCCCAUAACUCACCUUUCAAUCACAAAAGUGGCGGGAGCGAAGCUCCAAGCUGCCACCCAAACGGCCCGCGGACCGGCGUCUGGCGGACCUCCAUGGUUGGCUCCGGACCUCCAACGGCGUCCAGGUCGCACGCACACUCCGCCGGAGCUACUCGACGACCAGCUCCCCUCAAUGGGUGGCCGGGGAUUGGCAUGGCUGAUACGCAUCCCAAACGCCAGAGCUGUGAGUGGUAUCUACUCCUCUCCAAGGUGAACCGAUACACUAUCUCUAGCGGCUCAACAACCCAAUCCAAUCCUCUCCAAGUGAGCGAUGGGCGCUAUCAACUAGAGUCCGGAUACCCAAUCGACGCUCCUGCUCCAAGUGAGGGGAUGCCCUGGAACCACUAGGCCGUCAAUUGUCUCAAUCGGCUUAUCACAACCUCUCGGCAUGUGCAGGCUGACUUAGCGGCUUUACUUAGAGCUUUGCUUGGUCCACAAGAACAUUUUCUAAGGGAUCCACCUACCCCUUAGUGUAAACAAUGUGAACUCUCGAAACCGAGGGUUGCAACCUCUUCUAGAACGACUAAGGGGUCGAAUGCGGAUAAGCUUUAGGAAAAAGCUAAGGAUGCCACAAAAAUCGAAGAAGUGGCAUUGGAAUGGAGUCCGCCGGGAGAGCAUAAUAAUGCCCAGAUUUAGCACAUUUUCCGCGGCUGAAGUUGCUCUCGGGGGAAUCGGUCUCUGCCCGAGCGAUGAGAGACCGGGUCCCAUCAGCUGAAGCUGCGGGGUUGCGAUGCAACCGGCUGGCAGAGAGGGACCGCGUCCCAGCCUGCGACACCAGUGGGCAGAAGGGAGCCCAGAAAUCGGCUUUUUUUUAAGCUCCCGAAAGUUUAGCUCUCGGGAAACCCGGUCUCUCUGAAGAGAACGCCGGUCUCCCGCAUGACCGAUUCUCUCAGGGGGGGACCUGGCUCGCCGAGAACGCGUGUCCGGUGGCGGGGAGGCCCCCGGGAACCGGUCCGCUGGUCGGGGAUGGAGACAGGUCCCUCGCGCGCAGAACGCCCAGAUAAGGCGCUGUGUAAGGAGGUUGGAAAAGGUUGAGGGGCCUUUGGGGAUAUUGUACAAAGAUGGAUGAGAGAGGUACAGAGGAGAGUAUGCUAACGCACUUGGACCUUGCCAAACUUGCUGCGGUUCGAGUGAUUGAUUGUAUUAUGAGCUUUUCCAGAACUUUCUGGUGGGUUGCUUGACCAGGGUGUUUCGAACCGUAUGGAUCGAGUCCCGAGAAUUGGUUGGUUUAAAACCUUGCCGGGCUCAAAAUCCAAAAAGUUGCGAUUUUUGGCUAGCCUCUCGGGUAGUCUUUCAGAGGGGCAGGGUGUACCGUACGGGCUUGAUUUUGCGUGUACCGGGUACGCGGUGGAUGCGUUGUUACCAAGUACGCGGGCCCGUGGCUACCGGUACACAGCGCCUAUUUUCCCAGCAAAACCGAGGCUCGGGUUGCGCUUUCGUAGGUGGGGGUGUAGCCGCGUACACAAACCCGGUGUAACCGGUACACAGUACAGUCUUGGCCAGGUGUUCGGCAAGGGGUGGGUGUUUGCAAUUGUUACAACACCGGUUCAUAUUACUACCCCCAGCCCCCUUGGAAGCUCUUUGUAGCCCUUAGGAACCAGUGCAGAAUAGGUGAGAACUCCUCCCCUUUGGAUUCUUCUCCAUUUUGAUGCGUUUUCUUUGUGGGUUUUUGUCACGCCCCGGGAACCCGGCAUAGGCCCGCCCGCCCGGUGCGGCCCAGACCGUGCCAUAUGUCUACACAUAUAAGGCUCUACACAAAAGCGAAGAGUAAAGCAUGGAGAAGAUCUAGCCAACUAGAGAUAUUCAGAGCAAGUAUAUAGCUAGGUUCUAAUCUAUCAGGUAGGAAUCAAUAAGCAAGAUUAAUAUACUAAAAGCAUAAAAGUAAAACUGAUACAUCAUAAGAUCUCAAGAUACAAACAUAGGCUGGUCUGCGUAUAUCAGGCUUACAAAAACUCUCACAACCUCAUCCGAAAAGAAACAAACAGAAAGGUGGACACUAACGCCAAGACCCCUCGAUAGCUAUACUCGGGGCGAAACCUUUCCGCGCGCGAUCCCGAGCCCUCUCCCGCGAGUGUGAAGGCCUGAAAGGAAAACAUAAAACAGGGGCGCUGAGGACUUAUAAUUUAUAGUUCCCAGUGGGGCAAUUUAACUGAGCCUGCACCAAAACGCACCACUAGGGCCCCAAACGGAGCAAAUAAUGGAUAAUAGGCAUAAUAUCAACAGGUAAUUGACAUGAAAUUAAAAUGCUACUCUACUUUUUUUGUGCCCACAAGUAUUGCUGAAAUGUUCAACAUGGAGCUACAUCUUACCUGUACAGAUCCAAUAUGGCCUAAAAACUUAAACAAUGUGCUCGUGAGCAACAAGUAAUGCCCUAUAAAGUGUGAUUAUAUAUUCUAGAGGCCACGUACAUUAUCUAGCUAUGUCACUAUCCCUGCCAGCAAGGUGUACUACAAUGCAAUACAACGAUAAUGGUCAACGUACACUAGAAUAUCCCAGAGAGUUCCAACCUAUGCCAUAGCAUGUCAAGGAAAAUCCGACCACUAUAACCGUAUCUUAGGUAGCUUGAUUGUCAACUUCGUUGUUUAGUUAUUUCUGGUUUCAAUCUCACUCAGGAUCUACACGGGUGUAGUGCGCGGGCUUUUGUGCCGCCUAGUUGCGAGUGCGGUAGGCUCCAGAUUCCCACUCUCAGGAAUGGGGAGUCUAUUCCCUCCAGCGGGGCCCCGUGAAGGCUACUCGAUACCGCCACGGGGCGAACAUAAAGUCGCGUAGGCGUAACUCCGGAGUGCCGGCUUGUGCGACGCUACCCUCCACGAAGCAAUGUGCUUGUAUGAGCACAAAAUGGCAAGCAAGCCAUUGAUCAAAACCUCAAUAGUCCAAAUUCGUCAUGUCUUCCAACAUGGAAAUGCAACUCAACAGUCAUCAUGUCUUAACAUGAAAAUGCACACGUAGGCAACAGUGUCUAGUCUAUGCCUCAAGUGGAAGGUGAUUAAACCGGUUUCAAAAAUUUCGAUGUCAAUGACCUUUAGCUUUACUUAAGUCCAAAUCUCAAGCGGGAAGUUCCCCCACAUCACUAUGUUAGUGCCUCUUAUGCACAACUUAAACAUUUGCGGGAUGAAUCUGAAGCCUCAAUUCACAUUCUAUGUCUUUAAAACUUAGCGUUGUUCUUAUCAAUAAUAGAUUAGUACACAUGCCUCUCUAGCUUUUGUCGCUUGCUCAUAUGGCUACAUGUAAGUUCUUUCCAGCAUGCCCCGACGUAUUAAUUGGGCAUCAAGCUCGAUAAUAAUAGAUGCAUAUGCAAUUUGCAUAACAUCAAGUCGUAAUUGCGCGCUUUAUGACAUGGUAGCUCUGCCUAAAACUGCAUAUCUAGUCCAAGGCCUCGAAUGCCCCGCUUUAUGCACAUUUAGGCUUACUAUUUGUAUACACUCUAGCUAUGGCUCGCUUAAUGUCGCAUAUGUCCAAACCACGUCAAUUCAUGCCCGUUCUAAGUCCAAAGGAGGUGUAAUCAUAUGCAUAUGUACAAAUUGCAACAUGAUCUCAAUCAAUUGUAAGAAUGCCUAACCGUAGGGCCCCCUUAGCCCAAACAUGAAAAACUCUCUACUAUAUAGAGGUUCGAAAAAUGCAUGUAUAAACAUAACGUGCGUAUUUUAAGCAUUCUAAAGAUUCACAAAUUGAGUCUAUCAGCCGGAUGAAUAUUGCAUGCCAUUUUCAUUUUGACGAUAAAUAAAACCAUUUCAUAAAGUUGAAAUUUUGUUUCAUUUGGGUGAGGCCAAAAGACCCACCAACAAUCGAAACCCUUCGUUUCGGCCGAACGGGAGGGUGCCCCACAAGCGCUCCUUAGUACCCUAGAGCAUCAAAACGAGGCUUACUCAAACGAAACGAAACAACUCAAAAACUCAACAACAUUAACCAUCAAGCAAAAAGGGCUAAAAUCUCACCUAAGUGUAGAAAAUCCGCUUUUAAGCCCAAAUGGAAGCUAGAUCCCUUCCAAUCCAACCUAGAUAAAAGGGUUUCUAAUUAAGAUCAAUGUGGGCUUCAAAAGCCUCUUAAUCAAAAAUCCCCAAAACAAACCCUAAGAUACCCAUUUCUAGCGGUUUGUAUACAAAAAAUCAUGCAUCAAGAAGGCGAAGUUAGUAAGCAACUAACCUCAAGAGAAGCUCCCAACCACCCUAGAAAUCAGCUAGGGUUGGAGCUCCUACCCUUCUACAAGCUCCAAACACCAAGCCCAAAAAUAUCUUUCUUUUUCCCAUGGAGGAAAAACCACCAAAAUGCAAAAAGAGAGCAAAAGGAGGAGUUUUAAUUCUUCAAAAAAUCCAAGAUAAAUCAAAGGGAAACAGGGAAGAGGGAGAAAAGAGAGCUGUCCCGUUACCGUUGCCUCUCCUGCCUCAAAGCUCAGGGAACACCAAAGGGGGCGGUGGGGUAUGGUAUAGAGUUGCAACAAUGCAAGAAACACCCCCUGCAGGGUUCGAAGUGUUCGAAAACUGCCAAAGUGUACCGCGUACCACGGGGAAAGUGUACAGUCACACAUCCUACGAAAAUGCCAAACCCGGAGGCUCGAUUCGGAAAUUCGCCGCCAAGGUACCGGUACAACCAUCAGAAGUGUACCGGUACAAAAUGGUGCACCGGUACAGCCAUCGACCUGUCAACCGGUUACACCUCGCUGCAGAAUGCAAUCGGAGGGUAGGCUAAGUUUCCAACUCUUUAGUGACCUGUAGCGCUACAUAAAAAUACUACAAUUUCUCGGGAUUCGAACCAUAGUCGGAAUAUCUGGUCAACGAGCCCACCAAGAACAAUCUGGGUAAAGCUCAGGACACGAGUACAAACACUCGUAACCCUCGCAAUUUGCAAAGUCCAUGUGUACAUUCUCCCCUCCUAAAAAGGAAGUUUCGGGUCCGCCGAAAAACUGGGGGGUCAACCACACAACAAAACCCAUCGCGAAGGGGGGAGGAAGAAAGGCGCCGUCCAGCAACGCCCCAAACAAGACCAUGCUGGCACAGGGGUUGGUGCCGGGAAAACUCCAAGCGCGAAACACAACAAAGAUCCGCGACCCAAGGCUUUGCAUAACACAAGCCCAAAGGCAUCCACAUAAGCCCUCCUUGAACUCAAGCCUUCACCGUAAAGUCAUCCAUCGUGUCAAUCCGCGUCCUGAUUUCACAGUCCUUCAAUCGCGGUUCUCAGGAACUCCAAGUGGUUUCCGAAAAGAAAACAGGAUGAAUUCAAUUCUCACCUUAUCUCGCCAAGUCGGGUAAGCCUUGCUCUGCUCAAUUACUCUUUUCGGUAUGUAGCGAUUACAUUCCAAACACCCCUUAAAGGCUGGCAUUCAAGGGCCACUGCUCCAAAGCAAGGCAUAUGGGGUUAAAAUCCUUUACUCAUUUUAUUCCAAAUCACCAUCGGAGUUCUCAUCAAUCACGACGCUCACCGAGGAGAGGUUGGAUGCAACAUCUGCUAAUCGGCCCAUAUAUCCAACAAUGAUCCUAAAUCAAGUCUCUUUCUCGAGGAUGCAUAACUAAGGGGCAUAAUCCGAAUCCGAGUUUAGAGUACAGGUGUAAUUUCCAUCCACCUGCGNNNNNNNNNNNNNNNNNNNNNNNNNNNNNNNNNNNNNNNNNNNNNNNNNNNNNNNNNNNNNNNNNNNNNNNNNNNNNNNNNNNNNNNNNNNNNNNNNNNNCCCCUCCUCCACCGCAUCUAUUCUUCUUCCCUUCUUCUCCUUCUCUCCCCUCUUCGCUCUCUCUCUCGGCGGCCCCCGCCACUGGGGCCGUGCGGCGCGGCGCAGGCGCCGUGCCCUCUCCGCUUCUCUGUACCCUCCCCACCCCUCCCCCCCCCCUAUUGCCUCCGCCCGGCUGGCCGUUUUCGCUGCCGCCGCGGAAAGUCUCAGUCCCGCCGGACCGGUACUCUCGCUGCGCCCCCCGCCCCCCCGUUCGCCCCCCCGGUCUCUUCCCUGCGAAGGCCCGGUCCAGUCCCUGCGCCGACGGCGUUCGGGCCCCGGUCUCGCCUGCCCGGGCCCCGGUUCCUCCGCUGCCUCCCCCCCUCGCUCCCUGGGGGCCCGUCUCUCCUUCCCGGGCCGUCCCCGCGCGUCCCCCUCCGCGCCUUGUCCCCGUUCCAGUUUUCGCCCUAUUCGGGUCGGCCAUCCCUUUUCCCCCCUCCCCACAGCGUGGCCACCCUCGCCCUCACUCCCCCCCUCGCCCCUCGCUUGCCCCAGUCCCGUGUGUUCACAGUGGCCGGCUGCCAUCCCGCUCUCCCGCGGUGCGGUCGCCGGUGUCCCCGCCCGAUGCCAGCCCUGGGGCGCCGGGGCUUGCGCCCUCGUGAGCGUCCCCACGCGUGACCCUGUGCUCGGGCGUGUGGGCCGCCUGGCGGGUCUACCGACCUCCCGGCCGGACCUGCCACCGCCCUCCUGCCGUCGGCCGCCCCUCCCGAGCUGCCUCUCCACGUGGCGCCGUCCUCCCCUGGCCCGCCUCCCCCCAGGCGCGCCCACCCCCCCCAGUCCGCGCCUGCUGGUCGUUGCGGCCCGACCCGCCCCCCGCCCGCGAACGGCUCCGCGAGCUGCCCGACCGCACGGCGACGCACGCGCGUCCGCCAGCCGGCCGCGCCGCCACACCAGCCUGCCUCCGUGACGCGCUUGCCCGCGCCCCUGAACUUCGCUCCUGCCGUCCGCCCGCCCCGCCAAGCUGCGUACCCUCCAAGCGAGCCCGUCCCCACAGAGCCUCGACCUCGCCCGCCUCGUUACAGGCCGCUCGCGCGCCGGCGGUCCCUCGCCGGCCGAUAAGUACCCCCCGGGAUGUGCCAGUGCCCUGCCCUCGCCCCCCCCCCCACCAGCGCGCCCCGACACGCCCUGCAUCCCCGCGCCCGGGUGCGUCCCGUCCACGCACCCCCUCGCCGUCCUACAGCGCGCCUACAGGCCCGCCCCCCUUCGUCCGCGCCGCGCGUAUCCCCGGUGCGCCCACGCCUCCCACCCGACUCCCCACUUGCCUCCCCCUCACCCCCCUCCUCCCCAGCGCACGCGCCGCUCAGCUGCCAGACGCUCGUCCUGCCCGCGGCCCUCGCCGUCCCUCCCGGCUGAUGUCCGCGUUCUGCCCGGCUCGCGGACCGCCCCCCGACGGGCGGGCGGGGCACAGCCCCGGCCCCCUGAUUCUCCGCCAGCCGUUCGCCGCCCUCCCCCUCCCUCGCCCUCUCCCCUUUUUCCGCCGUUCUCAAUCGCACGCCCCUCCUCCUCCCUAAUUACCGCUCCUAUCCCCGUCAACCUCCUCUCUCCGUCUCUCCGCGCGCUCUCGUUUCCUCUCGUCCCCCAGCCACCGUCCCAGCCCAACUAAACUCGCCUAACACCGCCCGCGCGCGGCAGCCUCACGCUUUGCUCGGUCGCCCUCCGCCUCCCCCCUCGCUCUGCUCUCCCCCCCUUUUCUCUGUCACCGUGCACCCCGGCCCCCCGGCCGCAGGCACCUUACUCGGCGCGGCGCCGACCUCGCCCCGCCCUCUGUACCCCUCCCCCGGUGUCUCCCCUCCCCGCGGCCCGUCGACGCCCUGCCCUUCCCUCGCUCUCGCCGCGCCGUCGCUUCUCUCCUCUCGUCCCGGCGCGUCCCGCUCCCCCCCCGCCCUAGCCGUCCUCCCCGUCUCCCCUCUCUGCCCCCCCGUGCCCCCCCGGGGUGGUCUGCGUCGUCCCGCUCGGUCGGACGGGCUCUCCCCCUCCACCCCCCUCCCUCGACGCGGUGGCGCCCCUGCGGCCGCCGUCGUCCUGCGCUGACGCCUCGCUCGCCGCCCCGCCCUUGGCCUCCCUCGUCCUCCGCUCCCCGCGACCGUCCGCCGGCGCUGCGUGGCCGCUCUGCCCGCCCCCCUCCCCACGGGCGUGCGCCUUCUCCUUUCAUCGUUCCCCGUACCGGCUAUUCCUCGACCGGCAAGCUCAGCGCGCGUUCCCCUGCUCACCCCCUCCGGCCCCCCCCCGCCCACCGCGUGCCGUCCCUGCCCCUACCUCUUACGCGCCCCCCUCCCGCGCUGAGUCUUCGACGCCCUAGCUCUACCCAGCCACUCGCACCCCACCGCCUGCCCUCCGCGUGCCCCUGCCUUCGCAUCAACCUCCUCUGUCUCCCGUCCGCCUGCUGUUCCAUGGUGGUGCUACAAUCUCCGCACCUCCCGCUCCUGCUCCCCUGCACUCCUCCUCCGAUCCCCCUCUCCCCCCAUCCCCCUCCUGCUGCCCGUCUGUCCCUGCCUCCGGUGUCAGCCUCUCCCCGCCCCCGCGUCUCUCCCGGGGCCCCCUGCCCCCGGCCCGUCCCUCCUCUCCGCACUCUCUCUCCCUCCGGCCUCUCCCCGUCGUCGACCCUCCUCCCCGCUCUCUCGUGCGUGCUUCUUCCCUUCUCCCCCCCUCGGUGACGCUGUUCCCCUUCACACAUCUCCGCCGCCCGACCCCUCCCGCCCCGGCCUCGUAGACGCAUCUGUCUCCCGCCCGAUUUCCCGUGCCUGUGGUCGCCGGCCCCCUCCCUCCUCUAUGGCCUCCGUGUCGUGUCCCCCUAUGCCGCCGCCGCAAUGAACCGUCGGCUUCCUCCCCCGCCCGCCGCGGAGGCCCCUCCUGCGGCCUCGGCUCCCUCGGCGUGCGGCUUUGUCCGGCGCGCCCCUCCCAUGGUGUGCGCCUGCGGCCCCCUGGCCAGGCGCCUCGUCCCCUCUCCGUCUCCCCUUCCUCCGUUCUCCCUCGGUCUCGUCCUCCGCCUCCCGCCGCUCUAGUUCUCUCCCCCGCCCGUUCGCCCCCUUCCCUCCGCCCUCGUGCCCUUGCUGCCCUUAGCCCCUUACUGUCCCCCUCCCCCCCUCCUCCCUUGCUCUCACCCCCGACACGGUUCCACCCGUCCGCGCUCCCUGCCUGUUGCUGCCCUUCGCCUCUCCUUCACCAUCCCUCUCUCCUUCGCUCCUCUACCGGGCCCUUUUGCCCUCUUUCGCUGUCCCCCCCCCCCUCCCCCUAGGUUCACUCCGCCUCCCGCGUCUUUUCAUUCUCCGGCACUGGCCUGCUCCCCCCCCCCCAUCCGCUCCUCUCGCCUCUCUCCUCCGUCGCCGUCCCCCCUGCCCUUCUGUCCCUCGGCCUUUUCCGCUUCUCCCCUCCCUCCCCCUCUCACCCCUCGACUGCUUUUCCUUUUCCCCCCCUCACUCCUCCCCCCUGAGCUUUUCUCCUUGUGUGCCUAGGUCCCACCACCCGCCCCGUCGCGUGCUCCUUCGCUUGCGCCGCCCGGCGUUCCCCGGUCUCACCCUCCCUCACCGUCUUCCCGGCCCGCGCCCCCCGGGCCUUCCGCUCCCUCUCAGUCCCCCUUCCCCUAGCCGCCCCCCCCGGGCCACCCCCCCGCUCCCGCGUCCACAUCGCUCUCAUCCGCUCACCCCGGCCGCUCGCCUCCUUCCCCUUCCCCGCCCCGGCCGGUCUCCUCCCCGCCUCUCCCUCCCCCGCCCUCGCUCCCCCUCCCCCCUCCCCCUCAGUCCCCUCUCGGGUUUCCCUACUCGCCUCCCCCGUCCCCCUUGCCGCUCGCGGGAGCUGCCCUCGUCGCUUCCCUUCUUCGCCGUCCUCCCCGCUCUCCACCUCUCCCCGUCCCCCGCUCUUCCCUGCCCCUCUGGGCUCCCAUCCCACGCUCCCGCUUCCCCCUGGCGGCCCCCCCCCAUCCCCGGGGCCCCGCCCUUCCCUCCCCCGCUCCCCCGCGCUCCCCUCCCCCGGUGCCGGGUUACGCGGUGCCCUCCCUGGUCUCCCCUCUCUUUCUCCGCUCCCCGGGGCGCGCCCUCGGGCGGCGUGGUGCUGCUCUCCGCCGGCACCCAUCGCCCACCCUCCCCUGCCCUCCCCCUUCCGCUUCUGUUCCCUGCGUCCCGGUCCCUCGGCUCCCGUCCGUCGUCCCCCCCCGCCCCUGCCACCCCCGCCUCGGUCUUGUGUGGCCCCCUGCUGUGUACCGGUACUCCCUCCCGUCCCGUCCGGCCCUCCCCGGCCUGACCGGUCGACUUGCCCUCCCCCCUGUCCCCCGGUCCCCGCCUGCUCCGCUCCCCGAGCGGCUGCCCCCCCCUUUUGCCUUUUUUUCGGCUUUUCUUGUGCUCGCGCGCCUUCCCCCAGUCACUUCUCGGCUACGCGCGCCCCCCGGUUCGGCCCCCAGUCCCCGACCCUCCCCGCCCCUCUGGCCACCGCUCCCCCCCCCAUGCCACCUCCCCUCGAACCUCCUCCCUUCGCGCACGGCCCGUGUGUCUCCCGCCCUCGGGCGCGGGCCGCUUUUUUUUUUUUUUUUUGUUUCCCCUGCUUCGGGCUGGUCCCCCCCUCCCCUACGUUGGCGCCGCUCCCCCUCGCGCGCCUCGCCCCUCAGCCCCUCCCGCUUCGCCCUCCACGCGUGGCACUGCGCGCGCCCCCUUCGCUGCGCUCAUCUUCGCCCCCCUCGCCGCCUCGUCGCCCCAGUCUCGCCGCCAGGGCGCCGGGGCGUCUCGCUCCUCGGCCGAUUCGGUUUCUGCCGCCCCUACUUUCGCUCGACCACCCGCUUAUCUGCGCCCCCUCCACUGGCGGCGCCUCGCUCCCCCUGGCGCCCUUCUCGAGUUUCGCGCCUCGAUUCACACGCUCCCCGCUCCUACCUUCUCUCCUAGGUUCCCACCCUCUCCCCGCUCUCCCCCCCCCCCUCGGCCCUCCCCCUUGUCAGCCGGUAGACGCUUACUUCCCCGCUUUGCUCCCCACGCGGCCGACGACUCGAUGAUGGUGAUCCUCCUCUUCCUUGCUCUCUUCUCACUUCUUCUCUUCUUCUUCACUUCUCUUCUUUCUCCUUCUUGCGAGAGAGAGAGCAAGAGUUUAUAGAGAGGGAGAGAGAGAGAAAUGUUUAAGGGUUGGUUGAGAGAGAAGAAUAGAGGAGGGAGCCUCUGCUCACUCUCAUAUAGGCCUCAACCUAAACAACAAUUGCAUGAAAAGCCCUCAACUUCCAUCUGAUGAGAUAGCCCAUGUAUUGGGCAAUAUUCGGGGUAACAGGGGUCCAGACCGUAGACUAGGGUCCAGACCCCAGAAGUUGAAGAAACUUUGAAAUUGCAAUUUUUGCAAUUCUCACAACCAAGUGGGUAUUUCGCACUAGGGGUCUAGACUCUAAACCACUAGGGAUCCGGACCCCGAGAGUCACCCAAGUGUGCAAGGCUUGCAAACUUGAAAUUCCAACUCUCCAAGGUCCACCAAUAAUGCACUUUUUCGCAUUUCAUACGCAUUCGGAUCUCUCCGAAGGCCUCACCAAGUAAACGAAUAGUCUCGAUUCCAAACGAAGUCUAACUCUCGGAUUUCGAGAAUUCACUUCCUUACAUCGUCCCUUGUGACUUGAUGUUGGUGUUGUCUUGCGUGAAGGAUGAAAGGAGCAGCACCUAUUUCCAGAAGAGAUAUAUUGACCAGAAGCACUACUAACAUGUUGAUUUGCUCUCUUGACUGGCGUAGGUGUAGGAGAGCAUGAUGUGGUGUCGGCUACAUUGUUGUUUCGUAGCGACUUUGUGAUGGGUACUGUGUCACGCCCCGGACCGGCAGAGGCCCUCCCGGUAGCGUGCCCAGACCCACCAUAUGUCAACACAUAUAAGGCGUCUAGAUCAACAGCGGAAAUAAAAGCGAGAAAUAAUCUAUACCUAGAGAUAUCAGAGCAUAAAAGAUCUAUCAUCUACAGUAAGGAAAAAGGAUAAUACUAUAACAAUAAGAGUGAAAUAUAAAGUAAUACAAUAUCUGUCCAAAAAGUACACAAAAGGGUGGUCUCUAGUACACCGGUAUAGCUCUCAACCUCUCCAAAAUAAAAUAUAUCGAGAGGUAGACCACCUAGCAACUCCUCACUCGCUGAAGAGCUAGCCCAAAGCCACGCCCUUCCCACGGUCCCUAGCCUCUCCCGGCGUGGAAGGCUCUGAAAGAAAACAUAAAACAGAGGGCGUGAGAACUAUAAUUUAUAGUUCCCAGUGGGCAAUUACUGACCUCAGCUCAAUGCACCACUAGGCCCCAAAAGAAAAGGGUAAGUACGGUAAACAGCAAUAAUAAUAAUGAUAACUGCGGUAUGAAAGUAUGCAUGUUUACUAAGCUUACUAUACCAUAACCAUUACGAUGUCAAUGCUUUACAUUUACUCUUUCAUAAUAAAGAAUGUUCAAAGCGUAAGUAAUAUGCCUCAACAUGGCCACAGGUAAAUGUCACGGCCUACUUUAUGAAGUUAUAAAGAUCAUGCUUUAUCAUGGCAACAAUGUAUACAUGGAUGCAAUAAGCAACAUCUCCUAGCAUACUACAUGUAUGUAUGUCUACUCAAGUGUCCAAAACUAUGCUAGAAGUGAGUCCAAGCAGUCCAACUACUAUUCUCUAUCUAGUAGUGAUUAUAACACACACAACACCGUGUCGAUUUCCAAUUCCAAUUAAGGACCUACCCAAGGUAGUCCAGCUUGUGCCGCCUAAGUGCCUGUGGUAGCCCAACAUCCCUACUCUUGGAAUGUGUCUGUCCCACUCGACCCGGUAGGCUUCUCAAUACCGCACGAGCGAACAUAGGUCGCGUAGGCUAACUCCGGAGUGCCGGCUUGUAGGGAGCGACCCUCACAAGCAUGUGCGAAUGAGCACAAAUGGCAAGCAAGCGUAGUCAAAGGCUCAAGUAUCCAACCCUCAUGUCUCAAACAUGGCAAUAGCUACUAGUAACCCAACGGUCUAGCUCUAUGUCACAAUGUGAUAUCCCAACACUCACUUGCUUAGUGCCUCUUUAUGACACUUAAGCACCACAACCAGUCAAAGCCCAAAUCAUAUUCUAUGUUCUCAUAUAAGACAUAAUACCAAUGCUCACUAAGGUCGGAGCCCAAUGCCUCUUUAUGACAUUGGCCCAAGAUCUCAAAUAGUCUAAGUCCCCAAGCCUCUCUAGGCUUCCAAAGUCUCUAAUGUCACAAUUGGGCAAAAAGGUUAAAUGCAUGAAGGCAAUGUUUAUUUUCAUAAUAGGAAUUAUGGUUUCAAGUUUCAACUAGAAUGCUAUAUCUCACAUGCAUGCACCCUACCACAUGGAGGUCCCAAAAAUUUACUAUACAAAACAUACGCAUGUUAAGCAUUCUAAAAUGCAUGUUUUAUCAUUUAACGAUACUCAAAACAUCACGAAUGAGAUUUUCUCAUUGUGUGGCUAGGUCAAACCCACCGAACCGUCGCAUAGUGUCUCGAUCCGCCGAACGGAGUUGUCCACGAGUCUCCAAAUACCCUAAAAGUAUUGAGCGAGAAGAUACACGGGCAUUACGAUCAACUAUAAGACCAAACAUUAACCAAUCAAGGCAAAAAGGCUAAAACUCACCAAGGGAGUAGAAAUUCUCUCUCAAGCUCCAAAAGAAGGCUAGGAUCCUUCCAAAGCAACCUAAACCAAGGUUCUAAUCUCAUUAGAUUAGCCAAAAAGCCUUCAAUCAAAAAGUCCCAAAUAAACCCUAGAUUUUCCAUUCUAGGGUUUCAUCCCCCCAAAAUCUACCAAAGCUAGGUCUAGAGGGAAGAAACAAACAACCAACCUCAAGAGAACUCCAAUCCAAGCUCCAAGGGUGAAGAUCUCCUCCUUUGCAAGCUCCAAGUCCAAGCUCCAAGCACCAAGGAAGAAGAGGGGGUGAGGAAGAUGCUCCAAGCCCACUAGUUGCUCUUAAUCUUCUUCUUCUUCCCCCCUUCUUCUCCUUCUCCUUCUUCUUUUUCUUCUCUAUCAAGGGUGUAGAGAGAGUUGAGAGAAGAGAAAUAAGGAGAAGAGAGAGUGGAUGGGUCAUAUAGACCAUCUAUUGCAACAAAAUCCAGCUAGGUCCCUCAAAAAUCCAAAAUCGCAUCAGCCUGGUCUGGGCAAUUUUCGCCCAGAGGGACCGGUCUCUCCCUGCAAGGGACCGGUCUCUCAUGUCGAACCCGAGAAACCAACGUUCGGGAACCGGUCUCUCCCCGCGCGGGACCGGUCUCUCACUGCGAAGACGCGCUCGGGGACCGGUCCGCCCGCCAGGGACCGGUUGCCUCGCCGACAGCGUAACACUGUUCACUGGGGGACCGGUCUCUCCAAUCAGGAACCGGUCCCCGAGAGUAAAAACUCUCAGGUUUUGUCCAAAACUCAAGUUUUCGAACUUCUUGGGUCGGAAAACAUUCUACGACCCUUCACCAAGUGUGGAGAAGCUCGAAACACAACCCAUCACUCGAACCUCGCAAUUUGCACAGGUCCAAUGUGUUACAUACUGGUUGAGGAGUAGACGUUUGGCUGGCUCCAGAUGCACUGUCACGCCCCGGGACCGGCGGAGGCCCUCCCGGUAGCGUGCCCAGACCCGCCAUAUGUCAACACAUAUAAGGCGUCUACAAUAAAGCGGAAGUAAAAACAAGUAUUAAAACAAGUAGAAGGAGUGAAAUAACAGUAACUAAUGAUAUCAGAGCAAAUAUAGUUCUAACAUCUACACCCAAGUAAGGAGAUAAGGAUAGACAAAAAAAAGAAAAUCAUAAGUAGUACAAUAUCAGCCUCUAAUACAAAAAUGGUGGUCUCUAGUACACGGGCAAAAACUCUCAACCUCUCCAAAAUAGAAUACAACGAGAGGUAGACCACCUAUCGAACGAUCCCUCGGUAAGCACGCAAGCCCGAGGCGAUACCCUUUCCGCGAUCCCUGGCCUCUCCCUGAGUGGAAGGCUCUGAAAAACAUCGAGAAAAGAGGGCGUGAGAACUAUAAUUUAUAGUUCCCAGUGGGCAAUUACUGACCUCAGCUCUUGCCCCACUAGGCCCCACAAACAAGGGUAAGCAACGAAUAUAAUAAAAGCAAUAUGGAGCAUAUACAUAAACUGCUGAAAGAAAGCAUAAAUGAAAUGCUAGUCUACUGUGUCUCAAAUAAGCAAGAUGUCAACCAAAAUGUACCUCUAUUCUAUCAUUACAAUUAAGUCCAAUCACACUAGAUUAAUGCUAUUAACCCUUGUCAAUACAUGGUGUAGAAAUUCUAAUAUGGCAACCAAGUAUACUACAUGUCUCACACUAUGCUAAAAGCAUGUAAAUGUAACCCAACUACUAAGUCUAUCUAGUAGUGAUCAUUCAUCCUCAACCCCGUGUCGAUUUCCAUUUCCAAUUAGGAACCUACCCAAGGUAGUCCAGCUUGUGCCGCCUAAGUGCCUGUGGUAGCCCGACAUUCCUACUCUUGGAAUGUGUCUGUCCCACUCGGCCCCGUAGGCUUCUCGAUACCGCACGAGCGAACAUAAGUCGCGUAGGCUAACUCCGGAGUGCCGGCUUGUAGGGAGCGACCCUCACAAGCAUGUGCGAAUGAGCACAAAUGGCAAGCAAGCAUAGUCCAAGUCUNNNNNNNNNNNNNNNNNNNNNNNNNNNNNNNNNNNNNNNNNNNNNNNNNNNNNNNNNNNNNNNNNNNNNNNNNNNNNNNNNNNNNNNNNNNNNNNNNNNNNNNNNNNNNNNNNNNNNNNNNNNNNNNNNNNNNNNNNNNNNNNNNNNNNNNNNNNNNNNNNNNNNNNNNNNNNNNNNNNNNNNNNNNNNNNNNNNNNNNNNNNNNNNNNNNNNNNNNNNNNNNNNNNNNNNNNNNNNNNNNNNNNNNNNNNNNNNNNNNNNNNNNNNNNNNNNNNNNNNNNNNNNNNNNNNNNNNNNNNNNNNNNNNNNNNNNNNNNNNNNNNNNNNNNNNNNNNNNNNNNNNNNNNNNNNNNNNNNNNNNNNNNNNNNNNNNNNNNNNNNNNNNNNNNNNNNNNNNNNNNNNNNNNNNNNNNNNNNNNNNNNNNNNNNNNNNNNNNNNNNNNNNNNNNNNNNNNNNNNNNNNNNNNNNNNNNNNNNNNNNNNNNNNNNNNNNNNNNNNNNNNNNNNNNNNNNNNNNNNNNNNNNNNNNNNNNNNNNNNNNNNNNNNNNNNNNNNNNNNNNNNNNNNNNNNNNNNNNNNNNNNNNNNNNNNNNNNNNNNNNNNNNNNNNNNNNNNNNNNNNNNNNNNNNNNNNNNNNNNNNNNNNNNNNNNNNNNNNNNNNNNNNNNNNNNNNNNNNNNNNNNNNNNNNNNNNNNNNNNNNNNNNNNNNNNNNNNNNNNNNNNNNNNNNNNNNNNNNNNNNNNNNNNNNNNNNNNNNNNNNNNNNNNNNNNNNNNNNNNNNNNNNNNNNNNNNNNNNNNNNNNNNNNNNNNNNNNNNNNNNNNNNNNNNNNNNNNNNNNNNNNNNNNNNNNNNNNNNNNNNNNNNNNNNNNNNNNNNNNNNNNNNNNNNNNNNNNNNNNNNNNNNNNNNNNNNNNNNNNNNNNNNNNNNNNNNNNNNNNNNNNNNNNNNNNNNNNNNNNNNNNNNNNNNNNNNNNNNNNNNNNNNNNNNNNNNNNNNNNNNNNNNNNNNNNNNNNNNNNNNNNNNNNNNNNNNNNNNNNNNNNNNNNNNNNNNNNNNNNNNNNNNNNNNNNNNNNNNNNNNNNNNNNNNNNNNNNNNNNNNNNNNNNNNNNNNNNNNNNNNNNNNNNNNNNNNNNNNNNNNNNNNNNNNNNNNNNNNNNNNNNNNNNNNNNNNNNNNNNNNNNNNNNNNNNNNNNNNNNNNNNNNNNNNNNNNNNNNNNNNNNNNNNNNNNNNNNNNNNNNNNNNNNNNNNNNNNNNNNNNNNNNNNNNNNNNNNNNNNNNNNNNNNNNNNNNNNNNNNNNNNNNNNNNNNNNNNNNNNNNNNNNNNNNNNNNNNNNNNNNNNNAGCACAUGGCCAUGCGCUCGCGCGCCUGUCGUCCCGACAAAACCUUUUAGCCUUUUAACUCCCCGAGAAAUCGUAAAACAAUGUUAUCUCCUGAAUUGGGGGAGAGAGUGUCGGUAGAGGAGAGUGAGAGAGGAGUCGAGUGAGAGAGAGAUCGAGGGAGAGAGAGAGAGAUUGUUUCGCGUACCGGUACACGGCCUGGCAGACAGCCAACCCGAGAGCUACGCAGGCUGCCCGCGAUUGCUGUACCGGUACAGCCAUCAACCCUGUACCGGUACAGAAGCUCCAGAGUGCUAUUUUUCACUCCGUUUUGAUUUCUUUUCGCGUCCAACAACGCUAAAACUAUUCCAACCCUUUUGGAACUCAUUUUUACUCUUCCAAACAUGUUGAAAUACCGAAUGGAACUUGUCCAAAUCGUUUAAUCGCCCACUUUGGCCCAUUUGGCCAAAGUUAGCCAAUAUCGUCAAAUUUCGAUAUCUUACAAUUAAAAUAAUUGAUAUUAAUAUUAUGAGCAAAUUGAAAUAAACAUUAUUUAAUAACGUACAAAAAUCACGAUAUCCUAAUCACUCGGGUUACCAGCGGUCAGAAUGUUGCGAUCAUAGUCCCAACCCCAUCCGCUCUUUUUAGUCAAUGUUUGGUACAUGACAAAUUAGCGCUUCAAAACUUUCAACUAAUUUUGUAAGUGGCUUUUGAUGAAGUUGAGUUUUGUUCGCUUAUUAAAAUCAUGAACAAUCGUACUCCACACCAAUGUAGUAAAACUUUCAUUAAUGAAAUUACCCAGAACAUGUUCCUCAAUCAUCAAGUUCAACAUUGUAGAGUCCAUAAUCUCAAUCCAAUUUUCGAAGUGUACUCUGAUUUUUGAGGUCUCUGGACAUGAAAUUUCAAGGCUUUGGGUGUCGGUUGAGGCAACAUCAAAGGAGUUAGGGUAUUUUCUUAUCAUACGUUGUGCCGUCUUAUUUUGGGCGGCCAGCGAAAGUAAACAAAAUUGUAUAUCAUGAAAAAAAUCAAGUAUAUAGAUUAGGAAAAAGUAUAGGUUAGAGGGUAUUUUCCUUGAAGGGAAGAAGUGCAUCACGAUUCCAUGGUGGCUGCAUGUAUUUAAACUUACCACCCAACCAUAGACAUGUAACACUUUUCCCGUGCAUCAUCAUAGUUGAUUGUUUCAUAUGACUCCAAAAGCAAUAAGGAAUUUUACAUCUCAACCAACACCAGUUCAGAUGAAAUUAGUAUUAAUUGUGAAAUUGGUCAAAUCCCAAAAAUAUUUUGUAAUGUAUAAAGAUCGAUAUAUACAGACACAUAUGAAUGAAAAGAUAGAAAUAUUUGGUGAUAUACACAUUUCUAACAUAUUUCAUGUGUUGCCAAACUUUUUCAAUUUUAUGCUAUCUGUGGCAACAUAUAUGAAAUAAUUUGUAAAUGGCAUAAGCCACACGGCUCAGCAUGAAUGGGUCGUCAUAGGUUUAACUAUGGCAGCUGCAUAGAAAUAUUUCUAACGCCUCCAAGCCAUUAAUACAUCCAAAAUCCAUCAUGCAUCACUACUAAAAACACCCAAUGCAUGAAACAUCAUUAUGCUAGAGUGGAAAUUGUAUAUGUCACGCCCCAGAGCCGCCAAUUUGGUCGGUUCGGGCACGCGAACAGACGCCGAACGGACAGCACAUCCCCUAUCCACCCAAGGCUCCAAUAACAUGUAUAAUAUAAACAAUUCAAUACAAAUGAACGCAAUUAUACAAGGUUUGCACGAGGGCAAACAACAACUAAGUCACAUGUGAAAGCAUCGAAACUAACUAAACAUACAACAUACAAGUCAUUUGAUUUCCUUUGAAUCAAACACAAGUAAAUUUAAACUAUUACAUUCAUAUUCUUUUUCAUUCACACUUACAUCACAUUAGCUUUCAUCCAAAUACAUCAAUUACAUCAUUUUACAUUUCUUGUUAAACAUACAAAAGUUGAUUACUAAAACAUAGGGUAUGCCUAUAAACUCCGAGGCCGCUAUCUACAGUGCGAUACCCUUGCCUCGAUCCUCCGCCGCCCCGCUCGCGCACGGAUCUGCAGGGUUAGUGGUAAUGAGAACUAGAAGAAGUUCCCAGUGGGUUCGGCCGCCGACUGCGCCGACUCGCCCACUAGGUCUAUUCAGGCAUAUGUAUUUCAAUAAGGAUAGAUAUUCAAACCAGCUAAUGCAACUAAUACAAUGCCUGCAAGAAAGUAGUCAGCAGAUUGAUAACCCAUAAUCAUGAUAAUUAUGUGUAAGGGAAGUGAAUUCUCGAAAUUCGAGGAUUAGACUUCGUCUGGGAUCGACUAGUUGUCAAGUGUGUAAGCUUCGGAAAGCCUGAAGGUGAGUAAAAUGCCUGUAGUGCAUUAAGGAAGAGUCCGCGAGAGAACCAGUGCAAAAUCUGCACUGGAGCAGAAAAGCUCUCGGGGACCGGUCCCUGGCAGGGAGGGACCGGUCCGUGGCAGGGAGGGACCGGUCCCAUCGGGCUGGGCUGCGGGGGUCUCUGAUGAGACCGGUCCCUGGCAAGCAGGAACCAAUUCCCGAACGUUAGCCUAGCGAGAAUUAACCGAAAUUUGGCUUAGUCCCGAGAACCCAGCUCUCGGGAACCGGUCUCUCGGACAAGGACCGGUCUCCCAAGGACCGGUCUCUCGAGCAAGGACCGGUUCCCGAACGCGAAAACCCCUCUGCUCGAAAUUGCAGCUCUCGGGGACCGGUCUCCCCGACCUGGGACCGGUCCCUCACUGCGAAAAUGGCCCAGGGAGGGCUGUUUCAGGAAGUGGAAAGUUGAGGGGCUUAUUUGCAAAAUGGCUUAUAUGAGAGGCUUGGGGACCCUCUCUCCCUCUCAGUUGCUCUCUCCCUCUCUCACACUAUUUCCCUCUCUCUCUCUAGGAAAGAAAAGAAGGAGAAGAAGAAGAAAUGGAAGGAGAGGAAAAAAAGAAGAGAAAGAGGAAGGAGAAGACUAAGAAGAAGAAGGGGAUCAUCUUCUUCUCUCCCUCUUCAAGCUUGGAGCUUUGUUUAGAGGUAAGCUCCAAACCCUUUUAUGGUGGGUUUUGUAAGCUAGGGUUUAAUAGCUUGGAAUUGGUUCAAAUGGAACCUAUUGAAGUUAAGGAGUUGGCCCGAGCUCGAAAUUGAAGCUCGCGCCAUGGAUUUCGCCACCGUUGCCAACCUAGGGCACGGAUUUGGGAUUUUUGGAAUCUAAGGUUUUGAUCUAAUUUGAGAAGUUGUAAACCUAAUUGCUAGGUCCCUGAACGCGUCGGCGAAGACGGUUCGUCGAUCCGUCGAGUAGGUGCGGAGUUAUUGUCAAAGGCGACCCUCAGAGCUUCGUUCUCGCUUAGAAGGCCAACGAGGCGUCGAAACGUCGGCGAAUCGCAUUUGAAGAGUCACGGCAUCACCACAAGGUGGGGGAGUGCCAUCCCGAAGCAGUCGAACUGCUUUUUAUGUCUGAGUACUAAUGUCGAUCAAUUACAUAUUGUGAUAUAGCAUUAUAGGGUGUUAAAUGUAAUUGUACAUAUCUUUGCAUGCUAGUAAUAGUUUGGGUUGUGGAUACAAUGAAUGAAAAACCUAGUAUGCAUGAGUGGAAUACUAUGAGAUAGUUCGCCCUAUAUGUGAUGAAUAUGUCUAUGUGAAUAAGAACUUGUCAAGAGAACGAGUGGCAUCUAGUAAACAGUGAACCCAGAACGAGUGGCACCUAGUUGGCAUUGAACUUGAGAACUUUAGUGUGGUUGAGACCCUAUGAGAUUGAGCAGAUGAACACCUGAUGUUAUAGUGACACCAAUUCCAGUUGGUUAGGGUGUUCCCAGUUUAUGAGAUUGGAUCGAGCUUACUUAGCCUGUCUGCACCUGUGGAGGUAGCUCCUCACAGGUAGUGCACUCCAGAGUUUGGCGCGCGAGGGGGCCAAUGUAGUGCCCUUGGACCAGUGUAGUGUCCGCAGGCGGUCUCGGGGAAGGUGAAUAGCUAGCCACCUCCCCUAGGAGACUUAGAGAUGUGAGACUAUGGGCGAGCCUUGCGUUCGCCGAGAGAUUGGGUAAUCAGAUGAAUGGUUUCGUUAUUGAGCAUGGUAGUAUGAUAGCCAGCCUUCUCACUAUGAGUCCCAUGCAUGCAUCAUACUGGAUUGAGGCAUUGAUAGAUCAUAGUUCAUAGUUGCUCAUUACUGUUAGUGCUUUCAGUUUUAUAUACCUAUCUAUUUGCAUAUCUAUCUGUGCCUGCUUAGACCUAGUGGGGAGAUCGGCGGAGUCGGCGGCCGAACCCACUGAGAACUAUUCGUAGUUAUCACUCCACCAUGUUGCAGGUCCGAGUUCGAGCGCCCUUGGUGAGGAUCGCGGCAAGGGCGUAGCGCCCUAGUGAUAUUAGCAGAGGUUUACUUCCUUUAUGCAUUAGUUAUACCCUGUACCUAUUUUGAGAGUAGAUUGAUGUAUAGGAUGAGGUUUUGAGAGUAGAUUGAUGUAUAGGGUGAGGUUUUGAGAGGAUUGUAUGUAUUGUACAGGUUUGGAAGAAUGCAGGAUGUAAUAAUUGUAUAAAGUUAAAUGAGUUAAUAGUUAAGUGCAUCUCUCUUUUAUCACUUGUAUGCUUUACAUGUGUUGCUUGCUCUUAGUUCAUAAGCACUGUUUGUGCUCUCGUGGUUGUUGCAUGAUUGUGUAUGUAUUCAAGUUAUUUCCUGGGAACUUGUUGUACACAAUCUAGUAGUUCAAGCCUUGGGCGGACAGAAGAGGCGCUGUCCGUUCGGCGGUCCGUUCGCCGCGCCCGAACGAUACCCAAAUGGGUAGCGGCCUCGGGGCGGGGGCGUGACAUUAUGCAUGGAUGUUCAUGUCUCAUUCUCUUUGGCCUUUACCCAAUCAUUCCGGGGUGCUCCUGGUUUACCCCAAACUCACACUCCACACAUACCGUCUACCGAGGGAGGCACAAGGCUCAACCACCCGAGGGGUCUUCGUCGGGGUACUCUCCCCGUGGUGUCUACACUCCGGAGUACACCGCUUGAGGAGGAGCUACCUCUCUCAAGCCGGAACAAAUGUGUGAGUACGAUCCAAUCCUCAAUUUGAAGACGUAGCCAAACCUGUCUCAAUGCACAAAGCCUCAAUGUCACGCCCCAGGACCCAGCGGAAGCCCGCCCGGCGCGUGCCCAGACCCGCCAUAUGUCUACAACAUAUAAGGCGUCUAAAAACAACAACAAUAAAAGCAAUAAUAAAAGACAUCUAGGAGUAUCAGAGCAUAGUAAAUGUCUAAUUGCUACAACAAGAGAUAUGGAUAAAACUGUAAAUCCACUAAAUAAAACAUAAAGCGAGUACAAUAGGAAAUCCCAAAUACAAGUACUAUAGGUUGGUACAUAGGUGGUCUCUAUACAUGGAUACAAAAAUCUCACACUCUCUCAAAAUACAAAAGAAAGAGCAAACCACCUAAGUAAGAACCGCUCCUCGCUAGCUAGCUAAGCGAUCCCCUUGCCGCGAUCCCGUGCCUCCGCCGGUGCCGAAGGCUCUGAAGAGAAAACCAGAAAACANGUACACCUUGUGCAGAAUGCAAUCCGAGAAUAGGCUAAGUCCAACUUUUUAGUGACCUUAGCGCUACAUAAAAUACUACAAUUCUCGGGAUGCGAGCCAUAGGUCGGAACACUGUCAACGACCCACCAGAAAGUCUGAAAAAACUCGGGACACAGUCCAAACACUCGAACCUCGCAAUUUGCGAAGGUCCAGUGCGUCACACUCAAUGCCCAUGAUAGGUUAUUACCAUAUCAUAUUUCCACUAUACCUGAGCCAC
rnacentral:lncRNA from 1 species